rnacentral:rRNA from 1 species
UACGGAGGGGGCUAGCGUUGUUCGGAAUCACUGGGCGUAAAGCGUGCGUAGGCGGCUGCUCAAGUCAGAGGUGAAAGCCCGGGGCUCAACCUCGGAAUUGCCUUUGAAACUGGGUAGCUUGAACACGGGAGAGGUAAGUGGAAUUCCGGGUGGAGUGGUGAAAUGCGUAGAGAUCCGGAGGAACACCAGAGGCGAAGGCGGCGCCCUGGACUGAUACUGACACUGAGGUGCGAAAGCGUGGGGAGCAAACAGG